rnacentral:rRNA from 1 species
UCGACGGAAGGNCCUUCGGGGUANUCGAGUGGCGAACGGGUGAGUAACACGUGGGUGAUCUGCCCUGCACUUUGGGAUAAGCCUGGGAAACUGGGUCUAAUACCGAAUAGGACCACGCGCUUCAUGGUGUGUGGUGGAAAGCUUUUGCGGUGUGGGAUGGGCCCGCGGCCUAUCAGCUUGUUGGUGGGGUAAUGGCCUACCAAGGCGACGACGGGUAGCCGGCCUGAGAGGGUGACCGGCCACACUGGGACUGAGAUACGGCCCAGACUCCUACGGGAGGCAGCAGUGGGGAAUAUUGCACAAUGGGCGCAAGCCUGAUGCAGCGACGCCGCGUGAGGGAUGACGGCCUUCGGGUUGUAAACCUCUUUCAAUAGGGACGAAGCGCAAGUGACGGUACCUAUAGAAGAAGCACCGGCCAACUACGUGCCAGCAGCCGCGGUAAUACGUAGGGUGCGAGCGUUGUCCGGAAUUACUGGGCGUAAAGAGCUCGUAGGUGGUUUGUCGCGUUGUUCGUGAAAACUCACAGCUUAACUGUGGGCGUGCGGGCGAUACGGGCAGACUAGAGUACUGCAGGGGAGACUGGAAUUCCUGGUGUAGCGGUGGAAUGCGCAGAUAUCAGGAGGAACACCGGUGGCGAAGGCGGGUCUCUGGGCAGUAACUGACGCUGAGGAGCGAAAGCGUGGGGAGCGAACAGGAUUAGAUACCCUGGUAGUCCACGCCGUAAACGGUGGGUACUAGGUGUGGGUUCCUUCCUUGGGAUCCGUGCCGUAGCUAACGCAUUAAGUACCCCGCCUGGGGAGUACGGCCGCAAGGCUAAAACUCAAAGGAAUUGACGGGGGCCCGCACAAGCGGCGGANCAUGUGGAUUAAUUCGAUGCAACGCGAAGAACCUUACCUGGGUUUGACNUGCACAGGACGCCGGCAGANAUGUNGNUUCCCUUGUGGCCUGUGUGCAGGUGGUGCAUGGCUGUCGUCAGCUCGNGUCGUGANAUGUUGGGUUAAGUCCCGCAACGAGCGCAACCCUUGUCCUAUGUUGCCAGCGGGU